ensembl:snoRNA SNORD16 Small nucleolar RNA SNORD16
UGCCAUGAUGGUGUAAUUUGCGUCUGAUCCUGUGAACAGUGACAGUUGCCUGCUGUCUAUAUGCUGUCAUGGGUACUUGAUGUAUAUUAAAGUCUGAGCA